rnacentral:rRNA from 1 species
GACGGAGGAUGCAAGCGUUAUCCGGAAUGAUUGGGCGUAAAGCGUCCGCAGGUGGCAGUUCAAGUCUGCUGUCAAAGACCGGGGCUUAACUUCGGAAAGGCAGUGGAAACUGAACAGCUAGAGUAUGGUAGGGGCAGAGGGAAUUCCUGGUGUAGCGGUGGAAUGCGUAGAUAUCAGGAAGAACAUCGGUGGCGAAGGCGCUCUGCUGGACCAUAACUGACACUCAGGGACGAAAGCUAGGGGAGCGAAUGGG